CGGCGUGCCUAACACAUGCAAGUCGAGCGGGGUUGAAGCGAGAGGUAACUCGAGCUUCUACCUAGCGGCGGACGGGUGAGUAAUGCGUGGAUAAUCUGCCCUUUAGUUGGGAAUAACGUACCGAAAGGUGCGCUAAUACCUGAUAAUACUGCAUAACUACUGUUGUGUAGUCAAAGAAGGCCUCUGUUUACAAGCUUUUGCUGAAGGAUGAGUCCGCGUACCAUUAGCUGGUUGGUGGGGUAAUGGCCUACCAAGGCUACGAUGGUUAGCUGGUCUGAGAGGAUGAUCAGCCACACUGGAACUGAGACACGGUCCAGACUCCUACGGGAGGCAGCAGUGAGGAAUAUUGCGCAAUGGGGGCAACCCUGACGCAGCAACGCCGCGUGAGUGAGGAAGGUUUUCGGACCGUAAAGCUCUGUCGAGCGGGAAGAAAUGUAUCAUGGCUAAUAUCCAUGAUACUUGACGGUACCGCUAAAGGAAGCACCGGCUAACUCCGUG
rnacentral:rRNA from 1 species